rnacentral:ncRNA from 1 species
CACAAAGGCUUGGUCCUGACCUUGAAAUCAAUUACUACUUAACCUACACAUGCAAGUCUCCGCAUCCCUGUGAGAACGCCCAUAAACCCUCAUGAGUUUAAAGGAGCAGGUAUCAGGCUCACCUCGCCCAAGACACCUAGCCUUGCCACACCCACAAGGGUACUCAGCAGUGACUAAUAUUGAAUCAUGAGCAACAGCUCGAUUCAGUCAAAGUAUUUAGGGCCGGCCAACUUGGUGCCAGCUGCCGCGGCUAAACCAUGGUGCCCAAAUUGAUUUCCAUCGGCGUAAAGCGUGGUUAAAGAUUUCCUAAAACUAGAGCUAAACCCGGAUAUUUACAGUAAAAUACUUAUCCCAAGGAAACGCAUUAACGAAAGUCGCUCUACUUAAUUCACUUGAACCCACGAAAGCUAGGACAUAAACUGGGAUUUGAUACCCCACUAUACCUUGCCGUAAACUUUUACUUACACCACAACCCCGCCAGGGAACUACGAGCAAAGCUUAAAACCCAAAGGACUUGACGGUGCCCAUAUCCCACUAGAGGAGCCUGUCCUAUAAUCGAUGAUCCCCGUUUAACCUCACCACUCCUAGCCUAUCAGCCUGUAUAUUUCCGUCGUAAACUAACCACAUGAGUGAAACUCAGUUAGUUCCAGGACCCCACCCGUCAGCACGUCAGGUCAAAAUGCAGCAAAUGAAGUGGAAAGAGAUUGGCUACACUUUUUAACUUAAAAGAAACGAAAGACAAUUAAUGAAACUUUGUCAGAAGGUGGAUUUAGCAGUAAAAAGAAUUCAUAAUAUUCAUUUGAAUCUGGCACUGGAGCGUGUACAAACCGCCCGUCACCCUCUUCGACAAAGACCAAAACAGUAUUUAACAAAAUAUUUUUCCCCAGAGAAGAGGUAAGUCGUAACAUGGUAAGUAUACCGGAAGGUGUACUUGGAAC